CCUACGGGAGGCAGCAGUGAGGAAUAUUGGUCAAUGGGCGGGAGCCUGAACCAGCUAAGUCGCGUGAGGGAAGACGGUCCUAUGGAUUGUAAACCUCUUUAGGCGGGGAGCAAUGCCGGGCACGCGUGCCCGGAGGGAGAGUACCCGCAGACUAAGCAUCGGCUAACUCCGUGCCAGCAGCCGCGGUAAUACGGAGGAUGCGGGCGUUAUCGGGAUUGAUUGGGUUUAAAGGGAGCGUAGGCGGAUUGUUAAGUCAGCGGUAAAGUGUCCGGGCUCAACCCGGGCCGGCCGUUGAAACUGGGGAUCUUGAGUGGGCGAGAAGUAUGCGGAAUGCGUGGUGUAGCGGUGAAAUGCAUAGAUAUCACGCAGAACUCCGAUUGCGAAGGCGGCAUACCGGCGCCCGACUGACGCUGAGGCACGAAAGCGUGGGGAUCGAACAGGAUUAGAUACCCGUGUAGUC
rnacentral:rRNA from 1 species